rnacentral:rRNA from 1 species
ACGGAAGGCAGCAGUGAGGAAUAUUGGUCAAUGGUCGGAAGACUGAACCAGCCAAGUCGCGUGCAGGAAGACGGUCCUAUGGAUUGUAAACUGCUUUUGUACGGGAAUAAAGUGCGGGACGUGUCCCGUUUGGAAUGUACCGUAAGACUAAGGGUCGGCUCACUCCGUGCCAGCAGCCGCGGUAAUACGGAGGACCCGAGCGCUAUCCGGAUUUAUUGGGUUUAAAGGGUGCGCAGGCGGAGGAUUAAGUCAGCGGUGAAAUUCUCAUGCUCAACAUGAGGACUGCCAUUGAUACUGGUCCACUUGAGAGCUGUCGAGGAUGGCGGAAUGUGAUGUGUAGCGGUGAAAUGCUUAGAUAUGUCACAGAACACCGAUUGCGAAGGCAGCUGUCCAGAGAGCAUCUGACGCUCAGGCACGAAAGCAUGGGUAUCAAACAGGAUUAGAUACCCUGGUA